CUGAUGGGCGCGUUCGGGUCAAUUGCGGCCUGCAACACCCGAUCUCACUCGUGACCACCGACGAGGUGGACGAGGGGGAGCGCGUGACCGUCAG
rnacentral:ncRNA from 1 species